ensembl:snRNA U6 U6 spliceosomal RNA
GUGCCCACUUUAGCGACACAUAUACUAAAAUUGGAAUGAUACAGAGAACAUUUGCACGGCCUCAGUGCAAGGAUGACACACACGUUCGUGAAGCAUUCCAAAUUAUU